AGCAACGGAUGUCCUGGUCGGGAACCCAGUACGCCGGCCGCGCCGCGUCUUUAACCAAGCCUGGCGGCGGAGACAAAAUCACAAUGUACAGCUGAGUGCAAAAAUACCCGAGGGCCUGUCAUAAACAUGAAUGUAAUGUAGACACUUGUCGAGGGUGCAACACAAACCCAGAGGGAUGUCUAUGGCAGUGACCACGGCUCCUAAAGUGUUCUGCACGGCUUCUCCCACUUUCCUGGCGAUCAGCGUGCCGCUCUCCUCCUCCUCCAAAGCAGCGUCCAACAGCUCUGUAAAAAAAAAAAAAAGAAAUAAGAAAAUCUUAUCAAACAUGCGCAUCACAAUAUUGGGGGGGGAAAAAGUGAAUAAAAAAAAAUUACUACGAAAAAUAAACGUUUAACGCGGAAAAGGAAAACGAAUCGGCCGGUAUAUAAACCGACGCCGGAGUUUGUCAGAGUUGUAAAAGUACCCGUGAUGCUCUCGGAAAUGUCUCGCGAGGUCAUUUAUAUCUAUAUCAGAUUGAAUGACCCCACAGUGCUGCUGGAUUCUGGACUGUGAUUGGUCAGAAGGUGUUGAUGAUUGAUUAGUUUUCUUCUAACAGUGCGAGUAGCGCACCUGCAAAUCAGCGGUUUAUAUUAACGCGCCCGUUCGAACGCGUCACCGUUUCUAUAGCGACGGUGAGAAACAGUGUAGAACGGCCGCUGAAACGUAAGCGAUGACAUUCCGCAGCGUCGUUCUUUGAAAGAAUAAAUGAAACGAGUUAGUAAAAUGCUGCGUCAGGAUGUGCUGUUAACGGGAAAUAACCCUCGGUAAGACUCUUCGAUCGUUUUCCUGUAGCAGCAUGACAAAGAGCGGUUUAUUUCUUACUCAUCGCGUGAAAGCUAAUCCGACGGGUCCGUGUUAUACGUCUCGGAUUUCUCACCCUCUGGGAUUCCUCGGUUUUGGAAGCAGGCGUCGCACACCCUGACCGGCGUCAGUCCCCAUCCUCUCUCGGGUACGGGUCUGCAUUUAGACGAGCAGCCAUCACAGAAGCCUUCUCCGCACGCCCGGCAGUGGUGCUUUGUAUCGCUGUUGUUGAAGGCCUCGCCACACUUGGAACAGUUCUGAAACAUUUCACCAAUGUGGAGCAGGUGUGAGUUUCUGGCUUUCGGGUGGAUUCUAGUAAAGGGUAAAGGGUUGUGCCAACAGCGUAUAAUCCACCUCUACACAUGAAGUAGCCAAUCAGUAAAAGACACAGCGUUUAUGAUUUUCAGCUUCAAAAUGGCUGGCGUUUCUCCCAUAGACAGCUCUCUGGUCUUCACGUUGGUUUAUCCUUUUUAACAACAGAUACAGUCUUUACACACGAAACCUAGGGCUCAAACCAAGAGCAGACGCUCAGAGCCGUUCAUUCUUUAAACAGUCAGUCUAACAGGGCACACCUGGACAACCAGAAACACCUGUCAGGCACAUGUCCCAGUAUCACUUUAAAAUGGGUGGGUUCAAACAAAAAGUGCCACGUCCUAAGCUGUUUAACACGUCUAGAUGUAAAUAUGAGGAAAUGAAAGCUGAAAUUCUGAUCUCAAACCCAAAUGUAUUCGGUGUGUAGCGAAAACAAAAGAAUUGGGCUCGCCGUUCCGGUAUUCCUUUAAAUGAAUUAAAAUACACACUGACUGGAUGCAGCAAAUGAUUUUUGUAGACGUUUUUAAACAGCUUUUCUUUCACUGCAACUCUACUGCGGUCUGUUUGUGAGCAAACCUUUAUAUUGUGUAUCGCGAUGUGAUAUUUUUGUCAUAUCGCCCACCUCCUAGUCGUGCAGGUGUGUUAGUCAUCAUGACUGGAUCUGAUAACUACAAUCCUAAUUAGAUAAAUAAGCACAGGGAGUGUAGGAAGCUCUGCUCUGAACACUUACGAGGAUGAGCGAGUUGGGUUUCCAGUAAGCGGGGGCGAUCUGGUCGGUGAGCCAUGAGGUGACGGCUUUGGCAGGCUUGACGCUCAGCUCCGACACCGACUGGGCCAUGUAGUUGACUCCGUCCAGCAGCCUCUGUGCGGCGUUGUUGUUGUCCUUGGAGAAUCCGUUUGACUUCAGAAGGGGAAAGAUCAAAUAAUUAGUGAGAGGCGUUAAAAAGCUAUGAUAGCGUACAAGCUGAGAAAUGAAUUCACCGUAACGUAAUAAGUCGAUUUACGAGACGUUCCCAAAGAAACGGUUUCUCACCCCCGGCCAAACGUGGUGUAUCUCGGUACGGACCACGGUGUCGACGGGGUCCUGGUUCCCGUACCAGUACUGCCUGCUUCUGUAGAUCACUGAACAGUUUGGACACUCGAUUACAUACCUGCGAAAACAAAACAAAUUCACCCUCCAGCGCUGACGCAAACGUCCGAGCUCAACAGUGCUGCACCGUUCGACAUCGGGACUCACCCAGACCAGGCAUAAAUGGCCAGACCGAACCAGGGAGAAUCGGAGGAUGCUGUGGUCUUAGGAACCACGAUCACCUCCUUACCGCUCUCAUAGCACGCCUACGAGGUGAAACGAACACACCAGACAUCAGCUCCAGACCCUGAACACCUGAGCUGAGAGUGCACGCUGACAGCAGACGGGACAGGACCUACCUUGCAGGUGUAGAUGCGGUUGUCGUAGUGGGCGGAGUAGCGGCAGCGGUGCUUGGCCUCGUGGAUCACGCCCUCACGCAGGUGGUUCAUGCUGUUCUUGCAGCCUGAGCUGAAAACCAGACCACAGUAGGGUUUAGUUUAGAGGUACAGGAGUGGAGACUGGGUUUAGUUUAGAGGUACAGGAGUGGAGAGUGGGGUUUAGUUUAGAGGUACAGGAGUGGAGACUGGGUUUAGUUUAGAGGGACAGGAGUCCAGGGCUGAUAUGACACUCACCCACAGCUCAGACAGAUGCUGGAGCAGGUAAAAUAUUCAUCAGGGAAGAAGGAGUUACUGGACAGGUACUCGUCAGGGAUCUCACCACUAAACCGCUCACUCAGGGCCUGAGACCACACACACACACACACACACGUAUGUGUGACACCUUAUAGCACCUUAUUUUUAGAUUUAGAACAAUACUUCCGACUACUCCUACUGUUGCUUAUUAUUAUUAUUACUACUACAGUUGUUGUUAUUAUACAGUAAUUAGCAUUAGGAAUAAUUAUCUUUAUUUUAUUGUAGAUCGCUAGAUAAUUAUUAGUACUAUUUUAUUACUACCAAUUACUGCAAAAAUAUCACCAUUUAGUUUAUAACUUUAUACAAAUAAAUUUUUUUGCUACUAUAUUAUAUACUAAUUUAUAUUUAAUAGUAACAAAAAUGCUAAUUUUAUUCUACAAGUCUGUAGUUGUUUUGUAUCUUUAGAAAUGUAAUAUAUACGGUGCCCUCCAAUAAUAUUGGCACCCUUGGUAAAUAUGAGCAAAGAAGGCUGUGAAAAAUAGUUUCUAUUGUUUAACCUUUUGUUAAAAAAAAAUAAAUCCACAAAAAUACUCUGCUCUCAUGGAUAUCAAACAAUUGCAAACAAAACAGGUUUAUCAAAAAAAAAAAAAAAACAACAACUUUUAAUAUAGGUGUGCAAUUAUUAUUGGCACCCCUAUGAAUUCAUAUGAGGUUACACAAUAAAGACAAUUUUUCACAGCCUUCUUUGCCCAUAUUUACCAAGGGUGCCAAUAUUAAUGGAGAGCACUGUAGUUUCUGUAGUAAACAGUCCGCUAUGUGACAGGACGUACACUACAUGUUAUAUACAUGACGUUAUAUACUGCUGCAUGCGUGUUGAAGGUUGUGCUGAUUUUCCUCGUCAGGUUCAUGAAGACGUAUCGAUUGUAGUCCAGAUGUUCAGAGACCGUUAUCCGUUAGAAACUCACGUUUAGGGCUUUGUAGAUGACGCUGGCCGUCCGUGGCGAGCGCGUGGUGGUGUUGUCCAGCUGCAGCUCCACGCUGCGCAGCAGGCCGCUGAAAUCGGUGGGAGGGUUGUAGGUUCGCGUGCCUCUGUACUGGAUGGAACUGAACGCCUCGGGGAAGAGGCCGAGCUUUCGGAAACGCUCCUGGAGAAGACGUUCUGCCGAUUCCAAGGGCUUAUCUGCAGGAAAGAAAUAAAAUAAUUUUGAAAAAUUUAAUUGAGACUUAACAUGGCAGCUAUUUACUCCUAUAGUAAAAUAUCUAAUAUUAUAUCUGACUAAUUAUUGCUUUAAUUUUCGAUUAAAUUAAAUCAUCUAUGAUCAAGUAUAAUUUUAUAUGUAUGAAUAUAGGUAUGUAUAUGUAAAAAUAUUUUUUACUAAUGUAAUUUCACUAUUAAAUAAUAAGAAUAAGAAGGAGACGAAGAAAUAUUACGGCUGUCCUUAUUAAAUCAGCGUAUUUAUGUAGAUUCAAAGAUUAUUUUUAAAAAGGCAUGGUAGUGUUUCUUUGGUUUCUUUUAAUAACAGGACCUUUAUAUUUCUGACCUGAGCCCAGUAAUUUGGUGUGGACGGUCUCAUGAAAGAUGAUGACAGCCGGGCCCAGAGUGGAAAGUGGCACGUCCAGACCACAGCGGGCCGUGGUGGCUUUCAGCUCCUUGGUGAAAUGCUUUAAAUACGCGUCCGAGGCGUCGCCCAGGAACUUGAACAGGUCGUCGUGCAGCCGGUCGGCGUGUGUGCGGUAAAUCACCAGAUCGGACACGGCCAGGACCUUCAGCAGGAGCCGGAUCCGCUGGCCCUGGUUAGUUCCGGCUCCCAGGAGCCCCUCGGUGUCCACGACCACUACUUUAUGGAGCGGGUCCAUCGCUGCCCACACGCCCACCGUGCAGGAGUCCUGCGUGGGAGACGUCUUGAACACCUCCCGGCCUCUGAAGAACGUGUGGUUGAGGGUGUGAGAUUUGCCUUCGCCCGUGUUCCCGAAGAUGGACACCACCUUCAGGAGCUCGUCCGGGGCGCAACCCAGCCUGCUGACGAACUCGUCUGCGUCCUUCACCUGUUAACAGCCACAGCGGGGGGAAAAAGACCAACACGAGACGUUUCGUUACUUUCUCUUCAACUUCAAGAAUUGAACGGCGUAAAACCCAAAGCAGAGAUUUGACUUUAAAGUGGAUAAAACGCUUCCAGUCCCGUACCUGCAUUUCCUCUUUCUCAUCCACCAGGAGGAAGCUGUGAACUUUUUCCAGCUGAGCUUUCCAAUCAUCUAACUCUCCAUCGCCAGAGUUGGGGAUCUUUUCCGGCGCUUUGCAUGG